rnacentral:lncRNA from 1 species
GCGCCCGCGGCCAAGCCCGAUCCCGACGGCGGCCGCGCAGACGAGUGGGCCUGCGAGCUGCGGCUCUUCGGCCGCGUCCUGGAGCGAGCCGCCUGCCUGCGGCGCUGCAAGCGGACGCUGCCCGCCUUCCAGGUGCCCUACCCGCCGCGGCAGCUGCUGCGUGACUUCCAGAGCCGCCUGCCCUACCAGUACCUGCACUACGCGCUGUUCAAGCUAACCGGCUGGAGAAGGCGGUGGCGGCGGCCUACACCUUCCUCCAGAGGAACCCGAAGCACGAGCUGACCGCCAAGUAUCUCAACUACUAUC